UGGGCAUAUGUAUGAGAUACAAAUUUGAAGCCUUUGAAAGGUUCAAAAGAUUCAGAUGUGAAGUAGAAAAGUAAAUCAAAAAAAUCUUAAAGGUACUUCAAUCAGAUCGAGGAUGCAAUACAAAAUAAAAAUUUUUUUGAUUAUCUUAAGAAAAAGGCAUAGCUUCAUAAUGGAACCCUCCUUGUAUAUCUUAGCUCAAUAAAGUAUCGG
rnacentral:lncRNA from 1 species